UGAGGAAUAUUGGUCAAUGGACGAAAGUCUGAACCAGCCAUGCCGCGUGAAGGAAUAAGGCCCUAUGGGUCGUAAACUUCUUUUGUAUGUGAGCAAUAAGGUCCACGUGUGGACCGAUGAGAGUAGCAUACGAAUAAGCAUCGGCUAACUCCGUGCCAGCAGCCGCGGUAAUACGGAGGAUGCGAGCGUUAUCUGGAUUUAUUGGGUUUAAAGGGUGCGUAGGCGGGAUGUUAAGUCAGCGGUGAAAGUUUGCGGCUCAACCGUAAAAUUGCCGUUGAAACUGGCGUUCUUGAGUGUAAACGAGGUAGGCGGAAUGUGACGUGUAGCGGUGAAAUGCUUAGAUAUGUCACAGAACCCCGAUUGCGAAGGCAGCUUACCAGCAUACAACUGACGC
rnacentral:rRNA from 1 species